GUAUUUCCCUUACGCCUUGGGCUAGAAUCGCGCUACAAUGGCUGGUACAAUGCGAAGCGAAGCAGUGAUGUGAAGCAAAUCGCACCAAAGCCAGUCCCAGUUCGGAUAGGAGGCUGAAACUCGCCUCCUUGAAGUCGGAAUCGCUAGUAAUCGCAAAUCAGCAUGUUGCGGUGAAUACGUUCCCGGGUCUUGUACACACCGCCCGUCAAACCAUGAGAGUCACCAACACCCGAAGUCCGAUUCGUCGGCCUAAGGUGGGGGAGAUGAUUGGGGUUAAGUCGUAACAAGGCAUCGGUACGAGAACGUGUCGAUGGAUUACCUCCUUU
rnacentral:rRNA from 1 species